CAAAGGAAUUGACGGGGCCACACAAGCGGUGGAGCAUGUGGUUUAAUUCGAAGCAACGCGAAGAACCUUACCAGGUCUUGACAUCCCCUGACCAACCCGAGAGAUCGGGCGUUCCCCUUCGGGGGACAGGGUGACAGGUGGUGCAUGGUUGUCGUCAGCUCGUGUCGUGAGAUGUUGGGUUAAGUCCCGCAACGAGCGCAACCCUCGACCUUAGUUGCCAGCAGUUCGGCUGGGCACUCUAAAGGGACUGCCGGUGUCAAACCGGAGGAAGGUGGGGAUGACGUCAAGUCCUCAUGGCCUUUAUGGCCAGGGCUACACACGUACUACAAUGGCCGGUACAAAGGGCAGCGACAUUGCGAGAUGGAGCGAAUCCCGAAAAGCCGGUCUCAGUCCGGAUUGGAGUCUGCAACUCGACUCCAUGAAGUUGGAAUCGCUAGUAAUCGUGGAUCAGCAUGCCACGGUGAAUACGUUCCCGGGCCUU
rnacentral:rRNA from 1 species